GACGAACGCUGGCGGCGUGCCUAACACAUGCAAGUCGAGCGAGUGGAUCUCCUUCGGGAGAGAAGCUAGCGGCGGACGGGUGAGUAACACGUGGGCAACCUGCCUCAUAGAGGGGAAUAGCCUCCCGAAAGGGAGAUUAAUACCGCAUAAGAUUGUAGCUUCGCAUGAAGUAGCAAUUAAAGGAGCAAUCCGCUAUGAGAUGGGCCCGCGGCGCAUUAGCUAGUUGGUGAGGUAACGGCUCACCAAGGCGACGAUGCGUAGCCGACCUGAGAGGGUGAUCGGCCACAUUGGGACUGAGACACGGCCCAGACUCCUACGGGAGGCAGCAGUGGGGAAUAUUGCACAAUGGGGGAAACCCUGAUGCAGCAACGCCGCGCGAGUGAUGACGGCCUUCGGGUUGUAAAGCUCUGUCUUCAGGGACGAUAAUGACGGUACCUGAGGAGGAAGCCACGGCUAACUACGUGCCAGCCGCCGCCGUAAGAC
rnacentral:rRNA from 1 species